AUGGUCUGUGGUUUGCUCUUCUCCACACUCGCAUGUCGUGGACUCCACUUUGUAGCCCCAUUUCUUAUGGUUGGCUCUGCAUCUCGUGGUGCCAGAGCGCAGUCUGUUCAACACCUUCCAAGUCACCUAGCCUUCUGUGUGCCCAGGAGAGAAUUUCUCAUCUGGUGUCAGUCACUGACUGAGGUUCCAGGUUUUAACCUGCCACUUUUGGACUCUUGCUUGCUGAGGUGUUCCUCCAAGAGAAUCUAAUCUCGGGUCCACCGCUCAGUCCCUGGACCAGAACUGGCCUUCCCAGCACAGCAGGCCUAAUCCUUCUGCCGCCGAAAGAAACCGACUCUUUCUGAUGUUUGUUGAGCCCCCACCGACGUGUGUUGUGUCCGAGGAGGACGAGUGUAGGACACAGAUUCAGGGGCACACUCGGGUCAGUGGGAAUCCGAGCCAAGACUGAACUCCAGAAAAGCAAGGUCCCAAAGAGAUUCGUCAAGUCUGCCUCUACGUCUCUCAAAUUUUAACAUCUUUCCAAGCCUAGAAUCACGAAGAAGACUGCAAGCCAUUCUCUGCAUCAAUUCUCUGCCCAUUAAAUGAUGGCAAAGAGGGUCAAAGAAAUUCUGUACAGCAGCGUUUUAUUUAUAAAGUAAAGGCUAAACCAAAUACUUGGAAGGUUGGGUUGCUGUAUGGCCAUGUUCCAGAAGCAUUCUCUCCUGACUUUUCACCCACAUCUAUGGCAGGCAUCCUCAGGGGUCGUGAGGUCUGUUAGAAACUAGGCAAGCAGGGUUGAUUUACCGGUGAAAUAAUGUCCCGGGUGGGAGAAAGAGCUCUGGUCUGUUGGAGGCAAGUGUGAAUGUUGCCGUUGGCCACCUUGAUUAGCAUUGAUUGGCCUUGCAGCUUCAAAGCCUGGCUGCUUUCUACCUGAGGGAAUCCUUUGUUGGGAGGUGUUAGCCGACCCUUAUUGUUCCCCUGAGUGUUGUUCUUUAUUUACUGUCCUGAUUUUAGAGUUUUUGGAUACUGGUAGCCUGAUAUUAGGGCCCCUGGUGGCACAGUGUGUUAAAGUGCUGAGCUGCUGAACUUGCGGACCAAAAGGUCCCAGGUUCAAAUCCCGGGAGCGGAGUGAGCGCCCGCUGUUAGCCCCAGCUCCUGCCAACCUAGCAGUUCGAAAACAUGCCAGUGUGAGUAGAUCAAUAGGUACCACUCCGGCAGGACAGUAAGGACGCUCCGUGCAGUCAUGCCGGCCACAUAACCUUGGAGGUGUCUAUGGACAAUGCCAGCUCUUCGGCUUAGAAAUGGAGAUGAGCACCAACCCCCAGAGUCGGUCACGACUGGACUUAACGUCAGGGGAAAACUUUACCUUUACCUAGCCAGAUAUUGUUCGUUUUCAUGGUUUCCUCCUUUCUGUUGCUGUGUUUGGUGGUCCCGACAGCUGCAUGGUAUGCAGUAGAAGUUUACUUUUAAAAAUUUUGGCCAUUUAUUACUGCAGAGUUGUGCACACCUGAUCCAGGCAUUUCUAGAGAGAACAUCUUUUUAGGAAUCAAUGUUUUCCAAUGCAAUUCUGUGCUCAGCUUUCAGUG
rnacentral:lncRNA from 1 species